CUUGGUCAUUUAGAGGAGUAAAAGUCGUAACAAGGUUUCCGUAGGUGAACCUGCGGAAGGAUCACUAAGAGAACUGCCUUCGGGCUAAUCUCCCACCCUUUGUUUACAUUACCUUGUUGCUUUGGCAGGCCCGUCUUCGGACCGCUGGCUUCGGCUAGUCCGCGCUGCCAGAGGACCCCAAACUCACAUUAUUUAUGUCGUCUGAGUACUAUAAAUAGUUAAAACUUUCAACAACGGAUCUCUUGGUUCUGGCAUCGAUGAAAACGCAGCGAAAUGCGAUAAGUAAUGUGAAUUGCAGAAUUCAGUGAAUCUCGAAUCUUUGAACGCACAUUGCGCCCUCUGGUAUUCCGGGGGGCAUGCUGUUCGAGCGUCAUUACAACCCUCAAGCUCUGCUUGGUAUUGGGCGUCACACUCGUGGUGUGCCUUAAAAUCAGUGGCGGUGCCAUUCGGCUUCAAGCUAGUAAUUCUUCUCGCUUCUGGAGUUCGGGCGUGUGCUUGCCAGCAACCCCAAUUUUUUAAGGUUGACCUCGGWUCAGGUAGGGAUACCCGCUGAACUAAGCAUAUCAAUAAGCGGAGGA
rnacentral:rRNA from 1 species